rnacentral:rRNA from 1 species
AGCAGCCGCGGUAAUUCCAGCUCCAAUAGCGUAUAUUAAAGUUGUUGCAGUUAAAAAGCUCGUAGUUGAAUUUUAGGCCUGGCCGGACGGUCCGUCUUUGGCGAGAACUGUUCUGUUGUCGGGUCUUCCUUCUGGUGAACCAGUAUGCCCUUAAUUGGGUGUGUUGGGGAGCCAGGACCAUUACCUUGAAAAAUUAGAGUGUUUAAAGCGGGCUAUUGCUUGAAUAGAUUAGCAUGGAAUAAUAGAAUAGGACGUUGUGGUUCUAUUUUGUUGGUUUCUAGGACCACCGUAAUGAUUAAUAGGGAUAGUUGGGGGCAUUAGUAUUCAAUUGUCAGAGGUGAAAUUCUUGGAUUUAUUGAAGACUAACUAUUGCGAAAGCAUUUGCCAAGGAUGUUUUCAUUAAUCAAGAACGAAAGUUAGGGGAAUCGAAGACGAUCAGAUACCGUCGUA